UACGGGGGGGGCAAGCGUUGUUCGGAAUUACUGGGCGUAAAGGGCUCGUAGGCGGUGUGUCAAGUCAGGCGUGAAAGCCCCGGGCUCAACCUGGGAACCGCGCUUGAGACUGGCACGCUAGAGUUCGGGAGAGGAUGGUGGAAUUCCCAGUGUAGAGGUGAAAUUCGUAGAUAUUGGGAAGAACACCGGUGGCGAAGGCGGUCGACUGGGCCAGUACUGACGCUGAGGCGCGACAGCGUGGGGAGCAAACAGG
rnacentral:rRNA from 1 species